rnacentral:rRNA from 1 species
UACAGAGGUCCCGAGCGUUGUUCGGAUUCAUUGGGCGUAAAGGGUGCGUAGGCGGCGGGGCAAGUCUGAUGUGAAAUCCCGGGGCUCAACCCCGGAACUGCAUUGGAUACUGCCUUGCUAGAGUACUGGAGAGGAGACUGGAAUUUACGGUGUAGCAGUGAAAUGCGUAGAGAUCGUAAGGAAGGCCAGUGGCGAAGGCGAGUCUCGGUCGGAUUAACUGACGCUGAGGAGCGAAAGCGUGGGGAGCAAACGG